GACGAACGCUGGCGGCGUGCUUAACACAUGCAAGUCGAACGGUAAGGCCCUUCGGGGUACACGAGUGGCGAACGGGUGAGUAACACGUGGGUGAUCUGCCCUGCACUUCGGGAUAAGCCUGGGAAACUGGGUCUAAUACCGGAUAGGACCAUGCGUUUCACGGUGUGUGGUGGAAAGCUUUUGCGGUGUGGGAUGGGCCCGCGGCCUAUCAGCUUGUUGGUGGGGUAAUGGCCUACCAAGGCGACGACGGGUAGCCGGCCUGAGAGGGUGACCGGCCACACUGGGACUGAGAUACGGCCCAGACUCCUACGGGAGGCAGCAGUGGGGAAUAUUGCACAAUGGGCGCAAGCCUGAUGCAGCGACGCCGCGUGAGGGAUGACGGCCUUCGGGUUGUAAACCUCUUUUCUCAGGGACGAUUAUGACGGUACCUGAGGAAUAAGCCACGGCUAACUACGUGCCAGCAGCCGCAGUAA
rnacentral:rRNA from 1 species